rnacentral:SRP_RNA from 2 species
GCCAGGCGUGGUGGCUCACGCCUGUAAUCCCAGCACUUUGGGAGGCUGAGGCGGGUGGAUCACCUGAGGUCAGGAGUUCGAGACAGCCUGGCCAAUAUGGUGAAACCCUGUCUCUA